GAUGAACGCUGACAGAAUGCUUAACACAUGCAAGUCUUUGGCGAAGCUGUGCUUGCACAGCCUAGCCAAGGCGGACGGGUGAGUAACGCGUAAGGAACUUGCCCUGCAGUCAGGGAUAACAGACGGAAACGACUGAUAAGACCUGGUAAAGUCAGGCGGACUCAUGUCCAGCCUGAUGAAAAGUGAUGCUGCAGGAGAGCCUUGCGUCCUAUUAGCUUGUUGGUGGGGUAACGGCCCACCAAGGCGAUGAUAGGUAGCCGGCCUGAGAGGGUGGACGGCCACAAGGGGACUGAGAUACGGCCCUUACUCCUACGGGAGGCAGCAGUGGGGAAUAUUGGACAAUGGGGGCAACCCUGAUCCAGCAAUUCUGUGUGCACGAUGAAGGUUUUCGGAUUGUAAAGGGCUUUCAGCAGGGAAGAAAAAAAUGACGGUACCUGCAGAAGAAGCGACGGCUAAAUACGUG
rnacentral:rRNA from 1 species